AGAGUUUGAUCAUGGCUCAGAACGAACGUUGGCGGCGUGGAUUAGGCAUGCAAGUCGGGGGAAUCCUAGCAAUAGGGGAACCGGCGUAAGGGGCAGUAAUGCGUGGGUACCUACCCGGGGGUUCGGGAUAGCCACCAGAGAUGGUGGGUAAUACCGGAUGACCUCGUGAGAGCAAAGAUUUAUCGCCCUCGGAGGGGCCCACGUGAUAUUAGCUAGUUGGUGGGGUAACGGCUCACCAAGGCGAAGAUGUCUAGCGGGUAUGAGAGUACGACCCGCGCCACUCGCACUGAGACACUGGCGAGACACCUACGGGGGGCUGCAGUCGAGGAUCUUCGGCAAUGGGCGAAAGCCUGACCGAGCGACGCCGCGUGCGCGAUGAAGGCCUUCGGGUUGUAAAGCGCGAAAGAGGGGAGAAAAGCCCGAAAGGGUUUGAUCUAUCCUCAGUAAGCUCGGGCUAAGUUCGUGCCAGCAGCCGCGGUAAGACGAACCGAGCGAACGUUGUUCGGAAUCACUGGGCUUAAAGGGCGCGUAGGCGGGCUGUCAAGUCUGGGGUGAAAUCCCGCGGCUCAACCGUGGAACUGCCUCAGAUACUGACGGCCUCGAGGGAGGUAGGGGCGAGCGGAACUGUGAGUGGAGCGGUGAAAUGCGUUGAUAUUCACAGGAACUCCGGGCGAAGGCGGCUCGCUGGACCUUUUCUGACGCUGAGGCGCGAAAGCUAGGGGAGCAAACGGGAUUAGAUACCCUAGUAGUCC
rnacentral:rRNA from 1 species